CAGCCCCAGCAUAACUCACCAGGGAAUUCUCUGUAUUUGACUGCAAGAAUGCCUGGUGUUCCAAUCCAUUCAGUAUUUCUGUUAGAACUCCAAGGACUGGAUCAGUUCUUGCUGAGUGAAUAUGGAAAUCAGGUCCCAGUCUGGAUUCACCUCCAGAGAAGCACAAAUGUGUUGUGUUUGUUAGGAGAGAUCUGUGUUUGCACACACGUGCCCACAAACACACACACACACACACAAUGGCCCUGUGCAGCCAUGUCAUUUUAUACAUAACAUUAAUCAGAUAUGUACUUUCAAAUGCACUAAUGCAAAUUAUGUCAUUUAUUUCUGUCUUUAUGAAAUUAAUGUGACUCUUUUCAACUUUGGGAAGUUCAGGUACAAACCCAGCAAGAUGGAUUUGCUUAGGGAUGUUAUAUCCACGUUAUUCCAAGCUGAGCCUCCCAUUCUUCCAAAAUACCCCCAUAAAACCAGCCCCAAAUUUCACCUCCAAAAACAACAGAGAAUCUGUCCUUGGUUAUGGAGAUCAGCCCAGCAAUGUGCCUGCUGAGCUUUCAGCCAUACAUACCUGAAAUUCCUCCCAGUUUGCUCUCUGUUGCGCUCAUGUGCAGCAGAGCUCACAUCCAGCAAGCCCAGGAGUGUGGGGCCUGUGGGACAUUCACAGAGCCUGCAGUGGGAACCAGCAGGAGAUCAUCCCACCAGCCCUGAACUGGAAUUCCAGAGCGUUGGGCCCAGGGUUGAGGGUUGGGGAUAUUGGCUCUUCCAGAGACACUGGGUUUGGGAGUCCUUUGGGAAGGACUUUAACCUUUGUCUCAGGAGGAAACACAACAUUUCAGAGGGGACAAAGGCACUCUGUGCUCCUGUUGUACCUCUUGAGGACCUGAGGAUGGUGGGGCACAGGCUCCUCUCUGUCACAUUCCUGGGUGAACACAGCUCUUCUUUCCCUCUGCAGCUAUCAGCCUUCAGGAGUCAAAAUUCCCUUUCCAUGGAUGUUCUUGGAGCUGUCUUCAGACUUGCUGCUUCAAAGCUACCACGAAAUGCACCUAAGUCAGUAAAUCUAUUUAUUGGAAUGGUCAUACAGGACUGCAGCAAUGAGACACAAAUAUAAUCCAAUUCCAGCCUCUUCAAAGCAGGAAGGAAUAAACAUUUAGCUCCGUUCCCCAUGAAAUUUGAGUAAAAAUGGGAAACCAUAAGGAUGUAUGUGACAAAGAAGAGGCCAUUCAAGAGACAACACGAAUAAAUCUUAGCAGUACCUCAACAAGGACAGGAAGGGAGAGCAGCAGCCAGGAACUCUCCUCCAUCCAAGGGACAGACCAGGCCAGGAGCUGCAGAAAGGAAACCUUGGCCUGGAGGGCCCACAUGCCAUGAAAAUUCCCUACAAAUGGGAGAAUUUCCCUGUGACAAGUCAGCCAACAAAUCAGGCCUUGCCCUGAUGUCCUGGUGUUCCUGUCCCAAUGCCUGGAGCAGGCUCAUGUCCCAAUCCCAGGGAAAAAAUCCAUGGGAGGACCCGGCUACUGCCAAGGGAACCAAACUGAUUUGGCUCACAAGGAAUUUGCAUGCAAGGAAUCAGGCGAGCUGAAAUAAGGCUGAAAUGUUAAUGAACGUCUGGAAAGCACUAGGAAAUCCUUGGAUUAGAGGUAUCCUAGGAACACAACACAGUCGGUGACAGCAGAUAAGGUCAGCCUGGGGAUUGCAUUCAGUUUUAUCUAAAAAUCCAACUUUGCAUGCGGUGACUCAACAAAAAUGUAAUAAAUGUAAAUCGUGUAACAGUGC